GCAAGUCGAACGGUAGAGGGGGCAACCCCUUGAGAGUGGCGAACGGGUGAGUAAUAUAUCGGAACGUGCCCAGUCGUGGGGGAUAACGUAGCGAAAGUUACGCUAAUACCGCAUACGAUCUACGGAUGAAAGCGGGGGACUCGCAAGAGCCUCGCGCGAUUGGAGCGGCCGAUAUCAGAUUAGGUAGUUGGUGGGGUAAAGGCUCACCAAGCCAACGAUCUGUAGCUGGUCUGAGAGGACGACCAGCCACACUGGAACUGAGACACGGUCCAGACUCCUACGGGAGGCAGCAGUGGGGAAUUUUGGACAAUGGACGCAAGUCUGAUCCAGCCAUUCCGCGUGCAGGAUGAAGGCCCUCGGGUUGUAAACUGCUUUUGUACGGAACGAAAAGGUUUCUAUUAAUACUAGGAGCUCAUGACGGUACCGUAAGAAUAAGCACCGGCUAACUACGUGCCAGCAGCCGCGGUAAUACGUAGGGUGCAAGCGUUAAUCGGAAUUACUGGGCGUAAAGCGUGCGCAGGCGGUUAUGUAAGACAGAGGUGAAAUCCCCGGGCUCAACCUGGGAACUGCCUUUGUGACUGCAUAGCUAGAGUACGGUAAAGGGGGAUGGAAUUCCGCGUGUAGCAGUGAAAUGCGUAGAUAUGCGGAGGAACACCGAUGGCGAAGGCAAUCCCCUGGACCUGUACUGACGCUCAUGCACGAAAGCGUGGGGAGCAAACAGGAUUAGAUACCCUGGUAGUCCACGCCCUAAACGAUGUCAACUGGUUGUUGGGUCUUCACUGACUCAGUAACGAAGCUAACGCGUGAAGUUGACCGCCUGGGGAGUACGGCCGCAAGGUUGAUACUCAUAGGAAUUGACGGGGACCCGCACACGCGGUGGAUGAUGUGGUUUAAUUCGAUG
rnacentral:rRNA from 1 species